AACGAACGCUGGCGGCAUGCCUAACACAUGCAAGUCGAACGAGAUCUUCGGGUCUAGUGGCGCACGGGUGCGUAACGCGUGGGAAUCUGCCCUUUGGUUCGGAAUAACAGUUGGAAACGACUGCUAAUACCGGACGAUGACGAAAGUCCAAAGAUUUAUCGCCAGAGGAUGAGCCCGCGUAGGGUUAGCUAGUUGGUGGGGUAAAGGCGCACCAAGGCGACGAUCCUUAGCUGGUCUGAGAGGAUGAUCAGCCACACUGGGACUGAGACACGGCCCAGACUCCUACGGGAGGCAGCAGUGGGGAAUAUUGGACAAUGGGCGAAAGCCUGAUCCAGCAAUGCCGCGUGAGUGAUGAAGGCCUUAGGGUUGUAAAGCUCUUUUACCCGGGAUGAUAAUGACAGUACCGGGAGAAUAAGCUCCGGCUAACUCCGUGCCAGCCGCCGCGGUAA
rnacentral:rRNA from 1 species